rnacentral:misc_RNA from 1 species
AGAAUAUAUUUAUGAAUUAUUUUAGUUCAAUUUUUCAUUGUAAAAUGAGGAACUUUAGGAUUUUAUUAAUUAGGAGUUUUAUAUUAUUUAGGAUUUUAUUAUUUAGUAAUUAGUAUUUUAUUUUAUUUAGGAAACUUGAGUUGGUUUGAGAUUUCUAAUUAGAAUUUGUUAAGUGUUUGCUUGUUUAGGCUUCCAAAUCCUAAUAUUAGUAGGAUUAAUAAACCUAUUAUAAAUGCCUAUAUCUUUUUAGUAUUUUGGUAGACCUUUUUCUAUGCUUAACAAUUGAUUAGGGAAUUAAUAAAAAUUGAGAAAUUUGUUUCUCUUUCCCUCUGUUCUAUCAGCUCUACAUUAAUUUGGUAUCAGAGCCUCUUCGAUCUGUUUUCUAUAAGCAAUUAGAAACCCUUUGAAAUUUUCCCUCAAGUUUACUGUUUUUUUCUUCACUGCCUCAGUUUUCCCUCUAACCUUCGCUGCUGCCCAUAAACCAAUGCCUGGUUUCCACCUACCAAUCCAUCAUUUUCCCCUUGACUAUUGUCCUCUUGUUAUUAAAAAAAAGAAAACAAAAAAUCUUGUUGCCUUUGCAAGCCUCACGUAGCCCAUUUAUUGUCCAUAACAAAUCCCCAUCACUGGGUCAUAGUCUCAUAGACCACUGUGCCCCCACCCAACUCCACUGUUGACCACUAGGCCAUUCCCCUGGAGCAAAUCCUGCCGCCAAACGCUACCUAGAAUCCUAGUUUUGUUCAGGUCAGGUUUGACCCAAAUUGCUUUCUGGCCUGAUUUCAGUGCUGUAGGCCUUACCUAAAACUUGCCACAUGCUGGCGAUGUCAUUCUUACUGUCGGAACUCACAUCUGAAGUCUCUGCAGCAAGAUCCAAUUGGGUAGGGUUGAGAUCCGCCUAGGAUUUGCAGCAAGCUCACAUUUCUUAUUGUGUUACCGCUGCACAGGAUUCCGUACCCAGUCUCACCAUGUCAUCCUGUGAUUCGUGCCUUGUUAGCCAUUUCAUUAACUGAUCACCUACCACUGUGGUAGACAGUUCCACAUCAGCAUCUGCCAGGUUAACAAAUUUUUGGUGGGAUCCCUUCUUUCUAAUUUUGACACACUGAUUUUGAUUUUGACAUCCAUUUUG